rnacentral:tRNA from 1 species
GCGUAGGUACCGAAGUGGUCAAACGGGACGCACUGUAAAUGCGUUGGCACUGCCUUCGGGGGUUCGAAUCCCUCCCUACGCA